UGGUCGCCUUGACCUUACUUUGUGUGAUCA
rnacentral:piRNA from 1 species